UACGGGGGGGGGCAAGCGUUGUUCGGAAUUACUGGGCGUAAAGGGCUCGUAGGCGGCCAACUAAGUCGGACGUGAAAUCCCCGGGCUUAACCUGGGAACUGCAGUCGAGACUGUCUAGCUAGAGUAUGGGAGAGGGAAGUGGAAUUUCAGGUGUAGCGGUGAAAUGCGUAGAUAUCUGAAGGAACAUCAGUGGCGAAAGCGACUUCCUGGACCAAUACUGACGCUCAUGUGCGAAAGCGUGGGGAGCAAACAGGG
rnacentral:rRNA from 1 species